ACAACAUACUGACCGUCGGUCUACCGAGCAAUAUCACCCGCUCGGUGGAAGAUCUUCCCUUUGUCGU
rnacentral:pre_miRNA from 1 species